rnacentral:rRNA from 1 species
CCUACGGGGGACAGCAGUCGAGAAUCAUUCACAAUGGGGGAAACCCUGAUGGUGCGACGCCGCGUGGGGGAAUGAAGGUCUUCGGAUUGUAAACCCCUGUCAUGUGGGAGCAAAUUAAAAAGAUAGUACCACAAGAGGAAGAGACGGCUAACUCUGUGCCAGCAGCCGCGGUAAUACAGAGGUCUCAAGCGUUGUUCGGAAUCACUGGGCGUAAAGCGUGCGUAGGCUGUUUCGUAAGUCGUGUGUGAAAGGUGCGGGCUCAACCCGCGGACGGCACAUGAUACUGCGAGACUAGAGUAAUGGAGGGGGAACCGGAAUUCUCGGUGUAGCAGUGAAAUGCGUAGAUAUCGAGAGGAACACUCGUGGCGAAGGCGGGUUCCUGGACAUUAACUGACGCUGAGGCACGAAGGCCAGGGGAGCGAAAGGGAUUAGAUACCCCAGUAGUC